rnacentral:rRNA from 1 species
UGCCAGCCGCCGCGGUAAGACGUAGGGACCGAGCGUUGUCCGGAAUUAUUGGGCGUAAAGAGCUCGUAGGCGGUUGCGUAAGUCGGAUGUGAAAACUCAGGGCUCAACCCUGAGACGCCAUCCGAUACUGCGCUGACUUGAAUCCAGUAGGGGAGCGUGGAAUUCCUGGUGUAGCGGUGAAAUGCGCAGAUAUCAGGAGGAACACCUAUGGCGAAGGCAGCACUCUGGGCUGGUAUUGACGCUGAGGAGCGAAAGCAUGGGUAGCAAACAGGAUUAGAUA